UAAGUACUCUCUCCGUCCGGAAAUACUUGUCAUCAAAAUAAGUAAAAAGGGAUGUAUCUAGACGUAUAUUAGUUCUAGAUACAUCCCCUUUUUAUCUAUUUUAAUGACAAGUAUUUUCGGACGGAGGGAGUACUGU
rfam:Triticum aestivum genome assembly, contig: Triticum_aestivum_CS42_TGACv1_scaffold_210487_3AS